rnacentral:rRNA from 1 species
UACGAAGGUCCCAAGCGUUAUCCGGAUUUAUUGGGUUUAAAGGGUGCGUAGGCGGCUUAUUAAGUCAGUGGUGAAAGCUCCAUGCUUAACGUGGAAAUUGCCAUUGAUACUGAUGAGCUUGAGUAUAUUUGAAGUGGGCGGAAUGUGUCGUGUAGCGGUGAAAUGCUUAGAUAUGACACAGAACACCGAUGGCGUAGGCAGCUCACUAAACUAUAACUGACACUGAGGCACGAAAGCAUGGGGAUCAAACAGG